rnacentral:tRNA from 1 species
AACAUAAGUAGUGGGUAAAAUGGCCGAGUAGGUAUUAGACUGUAAAUCUAAAGACAGGGGUUGAAUCCUCUUUUUACC